UACGGAGGGGGCUAGCGUUGUUCGGAAUUACUGGGCGUAAAGCGCACGCAGGCGGCUUUGUAAGUUAGAGGUGAAAGUCCAGAGCUCAACUCUGGAAUUGCCUUUAAGACUGCAUCGCUUGAACAUCGGAGAGGUGAGUGGAAUUCCGAGUGUAGAGGUGAAAUUCGUAGAUAUUCGGAAGAACACCAGUGGCGAAGGCGACUCACUGGACGAUUGUUGACGCUGAGGUGCGAAAGCGUGGGGAGCAAACAGG
rnacentral:rRNA from 1 species